rnacentral:rRNA from 1 species
GACGAACGCUGGCGGCGUGCUUAACACAUGCAAGUCGAACGGAAAGGCCCUGCUUUUGUGGGGUGCUCGAGUGGCGAACGGGUGAGUAACACGUGAGUAACCUGCCCUUGACUUUGGGAUAACUUCAGGAAACUGGGGCUAAUACCGGAUAGGAGCUCCUGCUGCAUGGUGGGGGUUGGAAAGUUUCGGCGGUUGGGGAUGGACUCGCGGCUUAUCAGCUUGUUGGUGGGGUAGUGGCUUACCAAGGCUUUGACGGGUAGCCGGCCUGAGAGGGUGACCGGCCACAUUGGGACUGAGAUACGGCCCAGACUCCUACGGGAGGCAGCAGUGGGGAAUAUUGCACAAUGGGAGGAAGCAUGAUGCAGCAACGCCGCGUGCGGGAUGACGGCCUUCGGGUUGUAAACCGCUUUCGCCUGUGACGAAGCGUGAGUGACGGUAAUGGGUAAAGAAGCACCGGCUAACUACGUG